CUUUAAGCAACAAAUCACUAUAGCUUUUCUCCUUCUCUCCACUGCAACAAACAGGAUGACUUUUUGGAGAAAAAAGUACAACAUUCUUCUAAAUCACCCUUUCCAUUUUUUUGACACAAAGACCCUCACCCCUUAAUUUUUCAGAGUGCCCAGACGUUGAAAAGGGAAGAAAGUCACCUCCUUUUUCUCUUUCUUCUGCAAAACUUCUCUGCACCAUCCUAGAGUUACAGAGUACGGUUGCCAAAUCAUCAUCAUCCUCAUCCUCCAACACAACCGCUUUUCUCCCGUCACCACCUCUCACCGACCACUCACCCACCGCGUCAGAAUCAAUGGAUUCUGAAUCUUCAAAUCCGUCCAGCUCUCCACCAUGGUUAUUUUCAUCCUCCUCCUUCAUUGAUCUGGCCACCUCCUCUAAAAAAAUGUCAGCCUCCCUUUUUCCAACCAACACAUUGAUACUCCGACUAAUUCGAAAAGGAGAUGUGGUGGAUAGGCAGACGAAACCCACAUCUGCCCUCUUCAUCUUUUCUGUUUUUGGGCACACCCUAAU
rnacentral:lncRNA from 1 species